rnacentral:lncRNA from 1 species
AGACAUCUAUGUACUAUUUUUUUUUUUUUUUUUUGCAGGUGAGAUUCCAGUGUUUCCUCCAGAAAGGCACAUUAUUCCUCCACCAUGGUCUUCUUUUUCCUGUGUACCUUGACCCUGUAGGAGAUGAGACUUCUAAAGUGAUUCCUUUCCCUCUUUUCUCCUCAUCACCCCUUCCCACUCUCUAAGGUUUUCAGGUGCUGGUUCCAUGGCUCUUCCUGAGCCGAAAAUAAGGAAACUCCAUAGACCUUGUCCACUGGAACUCGUUCCCAUCUACCCUCCACUCUAUCCAGCCCCAUGAGGACAAGGAACAUGAUUGGUUUUGCUCACUGCCGUAUCUUCCGUACCUAGUACGUAACAGGACAUCAAUAAAUAUUAGUUGAAUGGAAGAUUAAAUCAACAAAAUGGGUGAUGGAUCUCUGCAGUAAGUGGAAGAGUUCUUCAUGGCCCCCAAGGUUAUAUCCAUCUAGAACUUCAGCACGUAAUUUCAUCUGGAAAUAGUGCCUUUGCGGAUAUAAGUUAGGUAAAACUGAAGAUGAGAUCAUACUGGAUUAGGAUGGGAUCUAAAUCCAAUGAAAAUGUCUUCAUAAAAAACAGGAAAGAACCCAUAGAAACACAAGGAAGAAGGUCAUGUGAAGAUGGAGGCAGAGAUUGGAGGGAUGCAGCCACCGGCCCAGGAAUGCCAGCAGCCACCCAGAAGCUGGAAGGAAAUGAGGGAUUCUCUCCUAGAACCUUUAGAGAGAACAUGGUCCUGUGAACAGCUUGAUUUUGGACUUGCCCAUAGCUUGUAUACUCUUACUUUGGAUACAAUUUUAUCCAAACUUGGCUAAACAGUUUCUCAGCCUAUGGAAAAUUUAAAAUGGAGAAGAUUCAACUCGAUUCUUACAGAUUCAAAGCAAGAAAAUGAUGGGAACAUAGGAGGAGACCAAGAAAGCCUAUAAAAAGCAAAAAUAUGAAGUGAACAUUGUGGUAGCUUUAAGAUGUUUAGUGUAGCUGCAGGCACCCUAUACACAUGAAAACCCCCAAGGGGAAUCCCCAUAUCACAGUGUAGUGUGAUAUUUGACAUUCGUGAUCAUCUAGAGAUGUACAGAAAAGGUGAAUCUGUGUUCUGUAUAUUCUGCCUAAGGCAAAGAAAUGUUUAGCUCUCUUUAAAAUAGUUCCAUAAUUUUUUCUAAAAAGCUUUGCUUGAAAACUGUAAGCUUCCCAUAUCUGGAGCAUUUCACUUUAAAUAUUUGGAUAAAUAUGUUAUCUUCUUACUUGGACAUUUCAUGUGUUUAGGGAUUGUCUUCUAAAUUCUUCCUAAUUCAUAUAGCUGCUAACACUUCCCGCAGAGCUAAACCAUUACAGAUAUGAAAUAAAGACCUAUUGAUUUGAC